rnacentral:rRNA from 1 species
GACGAACGCUUUCGGCGUGCUUAACACAUGCAAGUCGAACGGAAAGGCCCUGCUUUUGUGGGGUGCUCGAGUGGCGAACGGGUGAGUAACACGUGAGUAACCUGCCCUUGACUUUGGGAUAACUUCAGGAAACUGGGGCUAAUACCGGAUAGGAGCUCCUGCUGCAUGGUGGGGGUUGGAAAGUUUCGGCGGUUGGGGAUGGACUCGCGGCUUAUCAGCUUGUUGGUGGGGUAGUGGCUUACCAAGGCUUUGACGGGUAGCCGGCCUGAGAGGGUGACCGGCCACAUUGGGACUGAGAUACGGCCCAGACUCCUACGGGAGGCAGCAGUGGGGAAUAUUGCACAAUGGGCGGAAGCCUAAUGCAGCAACGCCGCGUGCGGGAUGACGGCCUUCGGGUUGUAAACCGCUUUCGCCUGUGACGAAGCGUGAGUGACGGUAAUGGGUAAAGAAGCACCGGCUAACUACGUGCCAGCAGCCGCGGUGAUACGUAGGGUGCGAGCGUUGUCCGGAUUUAUUGGGCGUAAAGGGCUCGUAGGUGGUUGAUCGCGUCGGAAGUGUAAUCUUGGGGCUUAACCCUGAGCGUGCUUUCGAUACGGGUUGACUUGAGGAAGGUAGGGGAGAAUGGAAUUCCUGGUGGAGCGGUGGAAUGCGCAGAUAUCAGGAGGAACACCAGUGGCGAAGGCGGUUCUCUGGGCCUUUCCUGACGCUGAGGAGCGAAAGCGUGGGGAGCGAACAGGCUUAGAUACCCUGGUAGUCCACGCUGUAAACGGUGGGUACUAGGUGUGGGGUCCAUUCCACGGGUUCCGUGCCGUAGCUAACGCUUUAAGUACCCCGCCUGGGGAGUACGGCCGCAAGGCUAAAACUCAAAGGAAUUGACGGGGCCCCGCACAAGCGGCGGAGCAUGCGGAUUAAUUCGAUGCAACGCGUAGAACCUUACCUGGGUUUGACAUGGAUCGGGAGUGCUCAGAGAUGGGUGUGCCUCUUUUGGGGUCGGUUCACAGGUGGUGCAUGGCUGUCGUCAGCUCGUGUCGUGAGAUGUUGGGUUAAGUCCCGCAACGAGCGCAACCCUUGUUCACUGUUGCCAGCACGUUAUGGUGGGGACUCAGUGGAGACCGCCGGGGUCAACUCGGAGGAAGGUGGGGAUGACGUCAAGUCAUCAUGCCCCUUAUGUCCAGGGCUUCACGCAUGCUACAAUGGCUGGUACAGAGAGUGGCGAGCCUGUGAGGGUGAGCGAAUCUCGGAAAGCCGGUCUCAGUUCGGAUUGGGGUCUGCAACUCGACCUCAUGAAGUCGGAGUCGCUAGUAAUCGCAGAUCAGCAACGCUGCGGUGAAUACGUUCCCGGG